UUUGGGGUGUUUUUCUCUCAGAAUUAGGUUGGUUUGUGCGAGGGAACUUGUUUUUGGUCAUAUUUUUGUUACUUUUCUCUGUUUUUUUUGGUUUUGGGAGGCCGAAUAGGCUAUAUACCCUUUCGAGUAUUAUUUUUUUCCUUUUUAUUUGUUUUCUGCUUGACUGAAUAUUUUUGUUUAAUUCCCUUUUCCAAUCGGGUUUUCCCCUUCUGGCCGAUUACUGCAUUUUCUCUCCCUUUCAACACUUUCAGGUUUUGGCUCUUGUUUUCUCAACAUUCGGUCACCUUUUCUCUUCUUUGCCGAAUUUGUGUGUUUCCCUUUUUCUCAAACGAUUCCCCCUUGGAAAAUUACUCUUGUUCUUUG
rnacentral:lncRNA from 1 species